GAGAAACAAAGUCUCUCUCUCUGUCUGUGUGUUGCUUUUGCCGGGGACAGAACAGGAAUGGAGUCUUAGAACUUAGAUCUACUUUCCAUACAGCCGAUCUCCCAAGUCUGAGUCUGGAAUCUCAUCCCCAGUGCACCAAGUGCAGGGGUCUUCGUUAUCAUCCCACCACAAUCCUGCCCCUUGCAUUCACCAGCUGCCUGGCACCAGCUCUCCAACCAGGACAACACCUGACAGCUGGCAAUGAGCCACAAUGCAGCCCGUCCCUCUGCCCACGCACAGCUCGCUACCUGAGCAGGUCACCUCCCCAUCACCUGAGAUACCAAACCGCAUGGGGCCGAGAACAGAGCCCUGCAGGACCAUGCUAGAGCUAACCCCUGGUGUGAUGCACCCUCACCUGCACAUAACAACUCUCAGUGACCAGCCCCCAGCCCAUGGCUACAGUGACCGUGCAGCGUUCACAUUUGAACCAGGAUGCCAAGAGGGACUACGUCAAAGUCCAUUACAACCUCCUCCUCUUAGACAAGGGCUUUGAUGUCAGAACGCAGCAGCGCUGCGGGCAGGACUGUUCGCGAGGAGCCGGGCUGUGCACCGGCCAGAGGCAAGAGCUGCUUGGGCUGCCACUAACGUGCCAGACGUUACAGGCUGGGAUAGGCUGGAGGAAGAGCAUUGGAGGGGCGGGGGGGAAACGAGCGUUCUCUCAAGACCCGCCAACACCCCUUGCUCCAGCUGGGGCUGCAGGGCAGCUUGCCUCCAUCAGGAGGGGAGGGCCCUGGGCAAGGGGACGCAGGGGCCAGAGGCUGCGCCGGGGGAUUCAGAACAAGGUGGGGGUGGGGAGAACGUGCCUAGAAGAGCCAGGACCGAGGCUGCAGUCUCAGCCCACAGGGGGAACAGCUGCUCCCCGUCCACAGCAACAGGAAGCUGGUGGGGGAAGAGCCCGUUUCACCCGGCCCAGAGCAAAUUGCGUUAUGAGAGGGAUCCCCCCGACAUACAUACACACUCACCACAUCCCCCGGCUCCCCAGCGUUCAGAUAGUGGGGGUAGGAAGCACAGGAGGUGAGAGGUUUAAGAGGAAACUUGAGGGCUAGAGCAGGGGGCCAGGUGCAGGGGGUGAGGAGGGACACCAGAGGGACAGCCGCACUGGAGCUGUGACCGGGGUGAAAG